rnacentral:lncRNA from 1 species
UCUUUGAAAAUCUUUAAAAUGUACAUGAUGAGUUCCUGUAUGACGAGAGUUUAAAAUCCUACCACAGCCACAUAUACAUGCUUAUUAGACUAUGAACCGUACAUUUACUACUUAUGAGCAUUGAGUGUGGUCAAGUUAUGUAGACCCUUAGGAACUUGUAUGCGGUUAAAAUCAAGAUUCACUUGCACGUUCACUCAUACAUGCUACUUCUACUCUGGAAGUACGCAUCCACAUACAUCCACUCAUUCCCAUCUCCAGAUUCACCUAAAAUGAUUCUACUCCUAUCCGGGAGAGAAUAGCCAAAAACAUUAUCCUAUCUCUGUUAUUCCCCGUGAAAUAAAUGCUCGAGAUAUUUUGGUUACUACCACUUGCUACAUUAUUCUAGGAGGGUGAGUGCUCUAAAAAAAUACGAGGAAAUAAAAAGGGGCAAGUGCCUAGAACCUCGAAGAAAAGAAAAAGUGAGACGAGAGGUAAAAAUAGACAAGUGCCCGACAGUAGAAUUAGGGGUACAAGAUACCCACCUGAGAGAAAAGAAAAAUAAAAUAUAGAGCAUCUCAUUCCCCUCAAAAAGCUCCAAGUGCAAGAAAGGUAUGUAUCUCCUCAAAAGAGCAAAAGUAGAAUUAGACUUUCACCAUUGUUAUCACCAUACACCAUUCACUCGCCACACAUGCACAUCUUGAUUUUACUUAUUGACUUGUUUCUCUGGAUCCAUGGUUUGACUAUGCAAUAAAUGUCUUGUAAGUAUGUAUUAUCUGUCUCCCACCUAUGAGCUCCAGAUAUCAAAACCUUAUUAGAGUAGGGUGAGAGAGAAGGCAAUAUCACUAUGCCUCAUACCAAAAAUACCACGUACUUUGAGAGAAGGCAUAUACCAUUACUACCUUGGAAAGGAUCUAGAAAUACCACAAAAGAGAGAUUUGAGAGAGUCAUACAAGGAAUCUCUGAGUUUUAUUUGAAAAUCUGCAAAAACUCCAGAGCCAUAGC